rnacentral:lncRNA from 12 species
CCGUUUUUUCCCGAUUUUCCCCCGUUUUUCCAGCUUGGAUCUUCCUCCUCUUCCUCCUCCUCCUCCUCCUCCUCACUCUCCAAUUUCCCUUUUUUCACCCCAUUUUUUCCCUUUUCUGGGGUUUUUUGGGGUUUUUUUCCCCUCUCAGUCCCGGAUUUGUCGUUUUUUCCCCCAUUUUUCCGGCCUGAAUCUUCCUCCUCCUCCUCCUCCUCAUCCUCCUCUUCCUCACUCUCAAUUUUCCCUCUUUUUCCCCCCUUUUUCCCAAAAUUUUUGGAUUUUUCCCCGAUUUUUCCGGAAUUUUCUGAUUUUCCCCCAGUUUUUCCCUUUUUCGCCCCAAUUUUCUUCCUCUCCUCUUCCUCCUCUUCCUCUUUCUCCUCCUCACUCUCAAUUUUCCUUUUUUUUCUCCCAUUUUUCCCCAUUUUUUCCUCCUUUCUUCCUCUUUCUCUCCCGUUUUUCCUCCUCUCUUCCUCCUCCUCCUCCUCCUCACUCUCCAUUUUCCUCUUUUUCCCCAUUUUUUCCUCCUUCUCCCCAGAAUUUUUUGCUUUUUCCCCAAAUUUUCCCUCUUUCAUCUCGUUUUCCUUCCUCCCCGCCUCUUCCUCCUCCUCCUCCUCUUCCUCACUCCAUUUUUCCCCAUUUUUUCCUCCUUUCUUCCUCUUUCUCUCCCGUUUUUCCUCCUCUCUUCCUCCUCCUCCUCCUCCUCACUCUCCAUUUUCCUCUUUUUCCCCAUUUUUUCCUCCUUCUCCCCAGAAUUUUUUGCUUUUUCCCCAAAUUUUCCCUCUUUCAUCCCGUUUUCCUUCCUCCCCUCCUCUUCCUCCUCCUCCUCCUCUUCCUCACUCUCGAUUUUCCUCCUUUUUUCCCCUUUUUUCCCCUUUUUCCUCUCCUCUUCCUCCUCUUCCUCCCCACUCCCAAUUUCCCCUUUUUUCAACCCAAUUUUUUUUGAUUUUUCCCCAAUUUUUCCCUCUUCCUCCUCCUCUUCCUCACUUUCAAUUUCCCCACUUCUCACCUCAUUUUCCCCGGAUUUUUGAGUUUUCUCCCCAUUUUCCUCCCUCUCUUCCUCCUCCUCUUCCUCACUCCCAACCCCCCCCGAACUCUUCCCAAAUUUUUUCGGACUUUCCCCAUUUUCCUUCCUCUCCUCUUCAUCUUCCUCUUCCUCCUUCCCCAUUUCCCCCUUUUUUAUCCCAUUUUCCUCCAUUUUUCCCCCAUUUUUUUCCAUUUCCUCCUCAUUUCCCCCCAUUUCCCCCCCGAUUUCCUCAAUUUUCCGGGGGGGGGGGGGGGGGGGGGGGGGGGGGGGGGGGGGGGGGGGGGGGGGGGGGGGGGGGGGGGGGGGGGGGGGGGGGGGGGGGGGGGGGGGGGGGGGCCCGCCGCUAGGAGGCGCCACGCACAGGGCGUGGUCCCCUCUAGCCACGCCCCCUUCCUGCUCCGCGCGUGCGCAUUCGCUUUCUGCCCAAUUCGGCGCCCUGCAAAAAAAAUGGGCGGGGUCAAACCGGGCGCGAACGCUUUGUGGGCGUGGCCAGCACAGGGCG